rnacentral:rRNA from 1 species
AGUGAACGCUGGCGGUAGGCCUAACACAUGCAGGUCGAACGGCAGCACAGGAGAGCUUGCUCUCUGGGUGGCGAGUGGCGGACGGGUGAGGAAUACAUCGGAAUCUACUCUGUCGUGGGGGAUAACGUAGGGAAACCUACGCUAAUACCGCAUACGACCUACGGGUGAAAGCAGGGGACCUUCGGGCCUUGCGCGAUUGAAUGAGCCGAUGUCGGAUUGGCUAGUUGGCGGGGUAAAGGCCCACCAAGGCGACGAUCAGUAGCUGGUAUGAGAGGAUGAUCAGCCACACUGGAACUGAGACACGGUCCAGACUCCUACGGGAGGCAGCAGUGGGGAAUAUUGGACAAUGGGCGCAAGCCUGAUCCAGCCAUACCGCGUGGGUGAAGAAGGCCUUCGGGUUGUAAAGCCCUUUUGUUGGGAAAGAAAUCCAGCUGGCUAAUACCCGGUUGGGAUGACGGUACCCAAAGAAUAAGCACCGGCUAACUUCGUGCCAGCAGCCGCCGUAA